rnacentral:rRNA from 1 species
AGAGUUUGAUCCUGGCUCAGAUUGAACGCUGGCGGCAUGCCUUACACAUGCAAGUCGAACGGUAACAGGUCUUCGGAUGCUGACGAGUGGCGAACGGGUGAGUAAUACAUCGGAACGUGCCCGAGAGUGGGGGAUAACGAGGCGAAAGCUUUGCUAAUACCGCAUACGAUCUCAGGAUGAAAGCAGGGGACCGCAAGGCCUUGCGCUCACGGAGCGGCCGAUGGCAGAUUAGGUAGUUGGUGGGAUAAAAGCUUACCAAGCCGACGAUCUGUAGCUGGUCUGAGAGGACGACCAGCCACACUGGGACUGAGACACAGCCCAGACUCCUACGGGAGGCAGCAGUGGGGAAUUUUGGACAAUGGGCGCAAGCCUGAUCCAGCCAUGCCGCGUGCAGGAUGAAGGCCUUCGGGUUGUAAACUGCUUUUGUACGGAACGAAAAGACUCCUUCUAAUAAAGGGGGUCCAUGACGGUACCGUAAGAAUAAGCACCGGCUAACUACGUGCCAGCAGCCGCGGUAAUACGUAGGGUGCGAGCGUUAAUCGGAAUUACUGGGCGUAAAGCGUGCGCAGGCGGUUAUGUAAGACAGAUGUGAAAUCCCCGGGCUCAACCUGGGAACUGCAUUUGUGACUGCAUAGCUAAAGUACGGCAGAGGGGGAUGGAAUUCCGCGUGUAGCAGUGAAAUGCGUAGAUAUGCGGAGGAACACCGAUGGCGAAGGCAAUCCCCUGGGCCUGUACUGACGCUCAUGCACGAAAGCGUGGGGAGCAAACAGGAUUAGAUACCCUGGUAGUCCACGCCCUAA